rnacentral:rRNA from 1 species
UACGUAGGGUGCAAGCGUUGUCCGGAAUUAUUGGGCGUAAAGAGCUCGUAGGCGGUCUGUCGCGUCGGCUGUGAAAACUCGGGGCUCAACUCCGAGCUUGCAGUCGAUACGGGCAGGCUAGAGUUCGGCAGGGGAGACUGGAAUUCCUGGUGUAGCGGUGAAAUGCGCAGAUAUCAGGAGGAACACCGGUGGCGAAGGCGGGGCUCGGGGCCGAUACUGACGCUGAGGAGCGAAAGCGUGGGGAGCGAACAGG